GACGAACGCUGGCGGCGUGCCUAAUACAUGCAAGUUGAGCGCUGAAGGUUGGUACUUGUACCAACUGGAUGAGCAGCGAACGGGUGAGUAACGCGUGGGGAAUCUGCCUUUGAGCGGGGGACAACAUUUGGAAACGAAUGCUAAUACCGCAUAAAAACUUUAAACACAAGUUUUAAGUUUGAAAGAUGCAAUUGCAUCACUCAAAGAUGAUCCCGCGUUGUAUUAGCUAGUUGGUGAGGUAAAGGCUCACCAAGGCGAUGAUACAUAGCCGACCUGAGAGGGUGAUCGGCCACAUUGGGACUGAGACACGGCCCAAACUCCUACGGGAGGCAGCAGUAGGGAAUCUUCGGCAAUGGACGAAAGUCUGACCGAGCAACGCCGCGUGAGUGAAGAAGGUUUUCGGAUCGUAAAACUCUGUUGGUAGAGAAGAACGUUGGUGAGAGUGGAAAGCUCAUCGAGUGACGGUAACUACCCAGAAAGGGACGGCUAACUACGUG
rnacentral:rRNA from 1 species